GGCUUCGUGGCCUAAUGGCUAGGGCGCUAGAUUUCGGUGUUAAUCACACUUCUCUAGAGAUUGUCGGUUCGAGUCCGGCCGAAGUCG